ACUACGGGGGGCAGCAGUGGGGGAUAUUGCACAAUGGGGGAAACCCUGAUGCAGCGACGCCGCGUGUGGGAAGACGGUCCUCUGGAUUGUAAACCACUGUCCCCAGGGACGAAGAUGACGGUACCUGGGGAGGAAGCUCCGGCUAACUACGUGCCAGCAGCCGCGGUAAUACGUAGGGAGCGAGCGUUGUCCGGAAUUACUGGGUGUAAAGGGAGCGUAGGCGGGACUGCAAGUUGGGUGUCAAAUCUACCGGCUCAACCGGUAGCCGCACUCAAAACUGCAGUUCUUGAGUGAAGUAGAGGCAGGCGGAAUUCCUAGUGUAGCGGUGAAAUGCGUAGAUAUUAGGAGGAACACCAGUGGCGAAGGCGGCCUGCUGGGCUUUUACUGACGCUGAGGCACGAAAGUGUGGGGAGCAAACAGGAUUAGAUACCCUAGUAGC
rnacentral:rRNA from 1 species